GAACCCUUGGCGCAGUGGUAGCGCGUAUGAUUCCAGCUUGAGUACUUGGUACUCUCGGGUGUCCAUAAGGUCGUCCGUUCAAUCCGGGCAGGGUUCA